rnacentral:siRNA from 1 species
ACCACAGGUCACGCAUUCCCCGGU